GUGAGGAAUAUUGGUCAAUGGGCGCAAGCCUGAACCAGCCAUGCCGCGUGCAGGAAGAAUGCCCUAUGGGUUGUAAACUGCUUUUAUUUAGGAAUAAACCUUUCUACGUGUAGAAAGCUGAAGGUACUGAAUGAAUAAGCACCGGCUAACUCCGUGCCAGCAGCCGCGGUAAUACGGAGGGUGCAAGCGUUAUCCGGAAUCAUUGGGUUUAAAGGGUCCGCAGGCGGAUUUAUAAGUCAGUGGUGAAAUCCUAUCGCUUAACGAUAGAACUGCCAUUGAUACUGUAAGUCUUGAAUUCGGUCGAAGUGGGCGGAAUGUGUAGUGUAGCGGUGAAAUGCAUAGAUAUUACACAGAACACCGAUAGCGAAGGCAGCUCACUAGGCCUGGAUUGACGCUCAGGGACGAAAGCGUGGGGAUCAAACAGGAUUAGAUACCC
rnacentral:rRNA from 1 species